rnacentral:tRNA from 1 species
GCCCUUGUAGCUCAGGUGGAUAGAGCAAUGGAUUCCUAAUCCAGAGGUCGUACGUUCAAAUCGUAUCAAGGGCA